ACCUUGUAUGCCUCAUUGCCAGUGCUUUGUACAGAAGUAAAAUGUGUAACAAUGCAGAGGUGCAGGCGAGGGCACUCUCACAAGUGCCAAUCCACCUUGUGCCUAGAAUGCCUUCCUUGGGUACUCGUACAUUUGAGCUGAAUUGGCUUUUGGAUGUCAUUGAAUGGUUCAGAGCGACAUAUUUUGUUAAUGAGCAUCCAUCAAGCGAUUCAGCAACACCAAUUGAUGCCCUUUGCAGUUGCAUAGAGAAAAUGUCAGCUUCAAAAGAGCAGGACCAGAUCCAUGUUUGUUUGACAACCUUUAGAGCACUUGGCCUUCAAGCUCGCUUGAUUGAAUCUCUCCAGCCAAUCACUGUGAAGUACACUGCACCUAGCAAGGUCUGCAGUGAGCGUGCAUCAUUGCAACCGCACCCACAAAAACAGGAACGUAUAAGUGGAGUUCCCACAUCCAAGAGAUCUGAUAAAGGAAAAAGAAAACUGUUAAAUACUAAUUCAAAAUCAAACUCAAGGGAACAGAAGAGAAAAUGGCGAAGGAAACGGUCAAGAAUAAAUGAUGAAAUUCACAAAAUGAAAACAAGAAGCUGUGAAAGCACAGGGAAAACUUGGAAAAUUCCAGAAAAGAGUCCAUACCUUGAUUCUGAAGAAGAUGUCCAACCUAAAGCUGAAGUGCUCACAGAAGAAUUUUCCUCAAAGAGAAAGGUAACCAACAGAAACAUAGUGUCUUCAGACUCGGAAAAUGACUACAGAGUUCUCCCAUCUGAAAGAAGAGUGUGUAACAGUUGGAUUGAAGUUUACAGUUCAAAAGAAAAGAAGUGGAUAUGUGUGGAUUUUGCCCGAGGCCUUAUCAACCGACCAGAUUUAUGCGAACAGAAUGCAACAAAGCCAAUUUGCUAUGUUGUAGCCAUUGAUAAUGACAUCUGCAAAGCUGCAUGUUGGAAGUCUCCCUCUACCUCCUGCAAUUUGAGGGAUGUUCUACAAAGCAACACCGCAAAUGGCAGGACAAUCCUACUCUCCGCAGGACAGAGGUCAAAGGGACCUCCUGUAGGACGGGUGACAAGUCAUCAUGAAGUUCAUUUACUUUUUCUUAAAUGUAUACACUCUUGUUUAUAUGUGAAAGUGUAUUCUUGGCAUUACAUGUGUUGUUGCCAACCCCCACCUAAAUCGGUGCUACUCCGCAUAUGUAGUGACUGUUUGGGUAGGUAUUCUCUAGUAGACCCGACCCUCACUUAAUAAUGUGGGGGAGGAAUUUGUAGCACACUGGUAUCUGCCAAAAUGACACGGUGCAAUACAACUAUAAAUCAAACAAAAUUAACAAGAAAUAAUGUAAUAACCGUUGAACAAGUUGGUUUUAAGAGAAACCUUGAAGUCAGUGAUGGAGGCACUAGUCUGAAUAUCUGAAGGGAGUUUGUUCCACAGAUGAGGGCCAGCAUGAGAGAAGGAUCUAUCCCCCAAGAGUUAUGUGUAGUGGGGACAGCAAACAGGGAAGCAUCAGAUGAUCUCAGUCCCCUAGACGGUCGGUAAUGAGCCAGUAAAUCAAUGUUGUAUGUUGGAGCAGAACUAUGAAGGGCAUAGAAAAAAACAACAGAGUUUUGUGCUUAAUCCAGUCAGCAACUCAGAGCCAGUGCAGAGAGUGUAGAAUAAGUGUUAUGUCAGUUCUAGACGAAGUCAGAGUCACAAUAUGAACAGCAGUAUUCUGAAGUCUUUGAAGACACACGAGUUGGGCACCGGGUUAUUGAUAUGAGAGUGAGUUGCAAAAAUCCAAACGUGAAGAAAUGAGAGCGUGAACAAGUUUUUCUGUGGCAGAUCGCAUCAAGUACUUGCGAAUUAAACCCAAAUUAUGCAACUGAAAACAAAUAGAUUUGCAGAUAUUGGAAACAUGAUUGGACAUGGACAUGGAAGAGUCACAAGUAACACCGAGGUUCUCACAGGUCAUAGACAUACUGACCGCUGAAUCACUAAUUCUAAUCUUGGAAACUCUUAACUUUGGCAAGUUGUACCUUGGAGUCUAAUAAAAUCAGUUGUUGUGUUAUAAUAUUUGUAACAACACAUCCACAUACUGACAUCAUCAAUGCCUCUAACGUGCAUAAAGAGUGCAUGCCAUCGAUCUCUUCUGGCUCAAAUGACAAACAAUUGAACAUAAACAGCAUCGCAGUUGCACUGGAUAUCACGAUGUUGCAAGACUUGCUCCAGUCCAUUUAGGUAGAUGGAAAACAAGGGCACACCAACAGAACCCAGAGGGAUGCUGCCCUACAGGAUCAGAUUUUGCAUCACCGAUACAAACCAGCUAAUGACUAUCACUCAAGUAUGACUUAAACCAAUCCAGGACCUGGCCACACAAGCCUAAAGAAGACAAGAUACUAUCAUGAUUUCAUGAUUGACUGUAUAAAAUGCUGAGGAGAAAUCUAAUAGAACCACAGCUGUGAUUAUCCCUGCAUCCAUCUCUCACAAAAUGUGGUCUGAUAAAUUAACAAGCAAGGUUUCUACACUGUGAUUGACCUGAUAGGCAGUUGGUUGUUUUUCUGCAGAUAAUCAGUCAAUCUGUAGAAAACAACACGCUCUAGAAACUUUGAUAAAAAUGGUAAGUUAGACACAGGCUGAUAAUUCUGCAAAGAUUCUAGGUCGAAGGAUGGUCUUUCCAACUCCAGAUGAAUGUACGCUGUCUUCAGUGUUGCUGGAAAGUCACUGUCCAGAAGACUCAGCUUAACCAUUCCAGCAAGCACUGUUGUGAAGGAUUGAAUACAGUCUUUCAGUAGUUUGGUGGAUGUGGCAGGUUUUUUCCAAAUGAGAGACUUGUUUCUUUUUGUGUAGUGAGUUCAAAGGAUUCCAGAACUGCAGGCGGUUGAUUUUAGGGGGCAACAGGUGCAUCCGGAGAGAGGCUGUCAUGUGGAAUCACUCUUGGUAACAAAGAACUUACUAAAAACCUGUGCAAGGUUUCUUCUGCAGAAAACUCUGUGAAGGAUGUCACCAAGCGCUAUGCUUCCAAAUGGAUGUAUGGAACAGAGAAGCUAAGGGUGCAUUUAAAUUGGUGGGAGGCUACAUUAAAACCUUACUACACAAAGCUUAUCACCAGAGAUAAAGAAGAAGAUGACCAGCUACAAAAACAACUUCAGGACAAACCUCUACCUACCAGCAUUUCCGAGUACAAGAAUCAUCACUUAUACGUCUUGAAGAGGCACCUGUUGAAAUACGAGGCCUUGUAUCCUGAAUCUGCUACCAUUAUGGGCUACUGUAGAGGUGAAGCAGUAUAUUCAAGGGACUGCGUUCACACUGUAAGUUUUUAUUGACUAGUAUUUGCAGGUGGAAAUUUGAUAAAUAUGUAUGCAUUGAGAAGAUAAGAAAAGCAAAGGUGCCCUCAUCAGAGGAGUUAGAGCUUGUUGUGAUGGACCAUUGGUAAAUGAAACAUGGCAAAUUCAGCAUUUGACCUGUUAAGGUAGAGCAUACAGAGCUGGAAAUCGCAUACUGUUUUUCUUUAUUGACCCCUCCCCUGGUGAAACAUGAAGUUGUUUUUGUUGUCUGUAUUGGUUUUACUAACUGCCAACUACAUUUUCUCUUGUUGCCUAACAUAAUUAAUUGCUGAAAGUUUGAUAAUUGUGCAGAGUCUAACUUAUAACCAACAUGCAGGGAAAAAAGAAGCACCAUGCUUUUGGCUUACACAAACGGUGGUUCAGACUAGACACAAAACAUAAGACAUGAGACAUUUGAUAUGAUGCACUGGCAAGAUAGACAACAAUAAGACAGAUAUGCUAUCAGUUAAGACCAGACCCUUUAAAGAAUGGAAGUAGAUUGGCAUAAUUACAUGAUCUAAGUUUCAUUAUACAAACUGAUGAGGUAGGUUUUGAGUUUUCUAGUAAAUGUAUUUGGCUUUGAAAAUCUUGUCAGAUCUGUAUUAAGGUUGUUGCAAAAGGACACACAUCAUGAGAUCAGAUAUUUUUGGAAACAGAAGUACAGCUAUAAUUUAUAUAAUAAUUGCCUCUAGAUUCUAGUUGCAUGACGCUCCUUUGAUAAUAUACAGUUGCUUUUUAGCAUAUUCUUGAGAAACGUCAUGAAGAAGUAACUUAAAUCAAUCCAUUUGUGCUGGCUUUGUAUUUCUUUGCAAUAAAUCAGACGGGGAAUGUUCUCUCCUCUGCACUUUUCUUACAUCCAGAUAUCAUUACUAUGUGUUUUUUAUCAUGCUGAA